rnacentral:rRNA from 1 species
AAAGGCGCUUUCGGGUGUCGCUGAUGGAUGGACCCGCGGUGCAUUAGCUAGUUGGUGAGGUAACGGCUCACCAAGGCCACGAUGCAUAGCCGACCUGAGAGGGUGAUCGGCCACAUUGGGACUGAGACACGGCCCAAACUCCUACGGGAGGCAGCAGUAGGGAAUCUUCGGCAAUGGACGAAAGUCUGACCGAGCAACGCCGCGUGAGUGAAGAAGGUUUUCGGAUCGUAAAACUCUGUUGUUAGAGAAGAACAAGGAUGAGAGUAACUGUUCAUCCCUUGACGGUAUCUAACCAGAAAGCCACGGCUAACUACGUGCCAGCAGCCGCGGUAAUACGUAGGUGGCAAGCGUUGUCCGGAUUUAUUGGGCGUAAAGCGAGCGCAGGCGGUUUCUUAAGUCUGAUGUGAAAGCCCCCGGCUCAACCGGGGAGGGUCAUUGGAAACUGGGAGACUUGAGUGCAGAAGAGGAGAGUGGAAUUCCAUGUGUAGCGGUGAAAUGCGUAGAUAUAUGGAGGAACACCAGUGGCGAAGGCGGCUCUCUGGUCUGUAACUGACGCUGAGGCUCGAAAGCGUGGGGAGCAAACAGGAUUAGAUACCCUGGUAGUCCACGCCGUAAACGAUGAGUGCUAAGUGUUGGAGGGUUUCCGCCCUUCAGUGCUGCAGCUAACGCAUUAAGCACUCCGCCUGGGGAGUACGACCGCAAGGUUGAAACUCAAAGGAAUUGACGGGGGCCCGCACAAGCGGUGGAGCAUGUGGUUUAAUUCGAAGCAACGCGAAGAACCUUACCAGGUCUUGACAUCCUUUGACCACUCUAGAGAUAGAGCUUCCCCUUCGGGGGCAAAGUGACAGGUGGUGCAUGGUUGUCGUCAGCUCGUGUCGUGAGAUGUUGGGUUAAGUCCCGCAACGAGCGCAACCCUUAUUGUUAGUUGCCAUCAUUCAGUUGGGCACUCUAGCAAGACUGCCGGUGACAAACCGGAGGAAGGUGGGGAUGACGUCAAAUCAUCAUGCCCCUUAUGACCUGGGCUACACACGUGCUACAAUGGGAAGUACAACGAGUUGCGAAGU